rnacentral:rRNA from 1 species
UGGGGAAUAUUGGACAAUGGGCGAAAGCCUGAUCCAGCCAUGCCGCGUGUGUGAAGAAGGUCUUCGGAUUGUAAAGCACUUUAAGUUGGGAGGAAGGGUAGUAACCUAAUACGUUGCUACUUUGACGUUACCGACAGAAUAAGCACCGGCUAACUUCGUGCCAGCAGCCGCGGUAAUACGAAGGGUGCAAGCGUUAAUCGGAAUUACUGGGCGUAAAGCGCGCGUAGGUGGUUCAGUAAGUUGGAAGUGAAAUCCCCGGGCUCAACCUGGGAACUGCUUUCAAAACUGCUGAGCUAGAGUACGGUAGAGGGUGGUGGAAUUUCCUGUGUAGCGGUGAAAUGCGUAGAUAUAGGAAGGAACACCAGUGGCGAAGGCGACCACCUGGACUAAUACUGACACUGAGGUGCGAAAGCGUGGGGAGCAAACA